CUCGUAAACAUUUAUAUUCAAGUCGGUAAAUCUCUUGUGUCCGUUGUUGUUGUAGCGGCAGAAUUCUGUGUGUCCGUCAUAUACGUUAGUGUAGCCAUUUGUAUGAGUUAGAAUUUCAUCAAGAAGUAUGCUUUAAUUUGAAAGAUAAUGUUAACUGCGCUGCCUUCGUCGACAGAAUGCCAGCAGCGCAAUGCUCAAUACACAAAUUCACUUAAUUCUUAGCCCUGUCCUGUUAUCACAUUAAAUAACGCCUAGAUUCACCUUUUAACUCUCUCAUAUUUAAAAAACAUAUCGAGUAUUAUUUUAAAUCUUUUAAAAAUCAAUUUGCACAGUUAGGUAUAAACUGAGUCACACGAUCGACUAGAUUAUUAAGUCGAGCUUACGCCAACCCUAAACCACACCUUAAAAUAUAGUUGUCAAUGUCUUUUUAUAAAAGUCGGUAUCGAAGAUAUAUUACAAACAAAAUUAGCAUUACCUUUCAAAAACAAUGUUUUCUGCAGAGGUUUUCAAUAUAAAUGUUUUUCUUAUUGGAAAUAAAACUGAAAAUUAAUUGAAAACAAAAAUUUCACCCAGCAGCGAAUAAAUCGGACACAACAGAACGAGCACAAAAAGUGAAA